rnacentral:tRNA from 1 species
CCCAAGGUGGCCCGGGUCAUGAUGGCCACUACCAUCAAGGUGAUCGCCCCCGCUCCCAGGGCAUGCAGCGCCGCC